AUGAAUCUCCUAAGUUGGAACUGCCGGGGAGGGGGGAAUACCCGGACGGUUCGUGAGAUAGCGACUCUUUGUCAGUCGCAUUCCCCCAACAUGGUCUUUUUGUGUGAGACGAGGCAAAAGGCAGAGAGGUUGAGAAGAAUCCGGGGCAGACUGGGACUGAAGGGAUUUGAAGGGGUGGACAGCAAUGGAAUGAGUGGUGGCUUGGCUCUUUUCUGGCAUGAAGCUUAUGAU
rnacentral:rRNA from 1 species